AUUGAACGCUGGCGGCAUGCUUUACACAUGCCAGUCGAACGGCAGCGCGGGCUUCGGCCUGGCGGCGAGUGGCGAACGGGUGAGUAAUACAUCGGAACGUGCCCAGUAGUGGGGGAUAGCUCGGCGAAAGCCGGAUUAAUACCGCAUACGACCUGAGGGUGAAAGCGGGGGAUCUUCGGACCUCGCGCUAUUGGAGCGGCCGAUGGCAGAUUAGCUAGUUGGUGGGGUAAAGGCCUACCAAGGCGACGAUCUGUAGCUGGUCUGAGAGGACGACCAGCCACACUGGGACUGAGACACGGCCCAGACUCCUACGGGAGGCAGCAGUGGGGAAUUUUGGACAAUGGGCGAAAGCCUGAUCCAGCAAUGCCGCGUGUGUGAUGAAGGCCUUCGGGUUGUAAGGCACUUUUGGCGGGAACGAAAAGGACUGUGCCAAUACCACGGUUCGAUGACGGUACCCGCAGAAUAAGCACCGGCUAACUACGUG
rnacentral:rRNA from 1 species